rnacentral:lncRNA from 13 species
AAACAUGAAGAUGCAGAAGGAGCGUAGUGAAGAAAGCAGGCAAAAGAGAAAAAGAAGGAAUGAGAAGAAAGCAAAAAAUAGGAAUGAAUUCAAUCCAAGAGCCUCAUGAGAGGAGAUCACUCAGCCUGCUAGAAGGAGAGUCCUGUCUGGAAAUCACAGGAAUUAGGAGAAACCACAACUUUGCUCAA